rnacentral:rRNA from 1 species
ACGCUCGACACCUACGGGAGGCAGCAGUUGGGAAUAUUGGACAAUGGAGGAAACUCUGAUCCAGUGACGCCGCGUGAAGGAAGAGGGGCCCUUCGGAUUGUAAACUUAUUUUGUCAGGGAAGAAAAAUAGACUGUACCUGAAGAAAAAGACACCGGCUAACUACGUGCUAGCAGCCGCGGUAAUCUGAGCGGGCUGGCAAGGC